CUAUACAUGCAAGUCGAGCGAAUGGAUUAAGAGCUUGCUCUUAUGAAGUUAGCGGCGGACGGGUGAGUAACACGUGGGUAACCUGCCCAUAAGACUGGGAUAACUCCGGGAAACCGGGGCUAAUACCGGAUAACAUUUUGAACCGCAUGGUUCGAAAUUGAAAGGCGGCUUCGGCUGUCACUUAUGGAUGGACCCGCGUCGCAUUAGCUAGUUGGUGAGGUAACGGCUCACCAAGGCAACGAUGCGUAGCCGACCUGAGAGGGUGAUCGGCCACACUGGGACUGAGACACGGCCCAGACUCCUACGGGAGGCAGCAGUAGGGAAUCUUCCGCAAUGGACGAAAGUCUGACGGAGCAACGCCGCGUGAGUGAUGAAGGCUUUCGGGUCGUAAAACUCUGUUGUUAGGGAAGAACAAGUGCUAGUUGAAUAAGCUGGCACCUUGACGGUACCUAACCAGAAAGCCACGGCUAACUACGUGCCAGCAGCCGCGGUAAUACGUAGGUGGCAAGCGUUAUCCGGAAUUAUUGGGCGUAAAGCGCGCGCAGGUGGUUUCUUAAGUCUGAUGUGAAAGCCCACGGCUCAACCGUGGAGGGUCAUUGGAAACUGGGAGACUUGAGUGCAGAAGAGGAAAGUGGAAUUCCAUGUGUAGCGGUGAAAUGCGUAGAGAUAUGGAGGAACACCAGUGGCGAAGGCGACUUUCUGGUCUGUAACUGACACUGAGGCGCGAAAGCGUGGGGAGCAAACAGGAUUA
rnacentral:rRNA from 1 species